rnacentral:rRNA from 1 species
GGAGCAAAUCCCUAAAAGCCAUCCCAGUUCGGAUUGCAGGCUGAAACCCGCCUGUAUGAAGUUGGAAUCGCUAGUAAUCGCGGAUCAGCAUGCCGCGGUGAAUACGUUCCCGGGCCUUGUACACACCGCCCGUCACACCAUGAGAGUCGGGAACACCCGAAGUCCGUAGCCUAACCGCAAGGGGGGCGCGGCCGAAGGUGGGUUCGAUAAUUGGGGUGAAGUCGUAACAAGGUACC